CUUGUAUUUUAUGCAAUAAAAAUUGUAUAACUAUACGUAUGAAAACAAAUGGAAAAGAAUGAUUACUAUAAAUAGACAUGCCUUCUCUCACUUGAUCAACAAUCCAACCAUCGAUCACGCUCAAUUAUUUCAUGAAAACUCUCUUCUUUGCAUUUCACUUUCUAGGGUUUAACACUCAUCAAACACUAAUCUUCUUGUUUUAACUUCAACCAUGCCCAAAACCAUUAAUCCACCUCUACAGGAGAACAAGAAACCGUUCCAUCAGAGGAACAGUUCAGACGAGAUCAAUGUCUUUGAAGCCUCCCGAUACUUUGAAGACACGAACACCACCCUCUCUCAUAAGAAUUACAUGAGAGAGAGUGUUGGAAGACUGAGUCUUGAUAUCCAGAACAAUAGAAGAAACUCCAAUAAUAUUCCUUUACAAGCCAUGAUGAUGGAGAACGGAAGAAACUCGAUACCUUUAAAAGCUAUGAUGAUGGAUCCGAACCAUAUGAUGAUCAAGAACGAGAAGAAGUAUAAGCAACCAAGCUCACCAGGAGGGAAAUUGGCUCAUUUCUUGAAUUCCCUUUUCAACCAAACAUCUUCCAAGAAGUCCAAGUCGAAGUCAAAGUCAACCACAUCGACACAAUCUAUUAAAGAUGAAGAUGAGAGUCCUAGUGGAUGGAGAAGAAAGAGGAGGAGUAGCAUCAGCCUAUUCAGGAGUGGGAAUAGUAAUACCAGUAAUAUUGCAAGUGAAACAAAACCUGCUAAUUACUCAACAACACCACAUGCAUAUGAUGAUCACAUGCCACAGGCACCCACAAAGAGGACAAGCUAUAAAGAUCUCAGAAGCUAUUCAGACCACAAGCCUACAUAUGAAGUUACCAAAGUACCCUUUAAUGAAAACUACAACAAGAAUGAAAACCUCAAGAUCAAGAGUGGGUUUUCUGACAGAAAAAGUAGAAGUCCUGAAAACGUGUCAGUGGAGAAAGUUAGGGUUUGUGAUGUAAAACAUGAUGAUCAUAAUCAGAAGUAUGAUCCAACGGUGGAGAUUAGAGAAUUCAAGAGAUUCAUUCUUGAUGAUGAUGGAGAUAGUGAUUCAAGCUCUGAUCUUUUUGAGUUAACAAACUGUGAUUUGGGUUAUUAUUCAAGUGGUUUGCCGGUUUUUGAAACCACGCAUAUGGAUAGCAUCAAGAGGGGUACACCGAUCUCUAGCUAACCUAUAUAGAAGUCGAAGGUAAAUUAAACCUUCCUAAGUGAGAACUUAAAAUCAAGUGAGCAAGAGAAAAUUCAAAGAGGAAUGUCUUCAUUUUAGUUUUAGCAAUUCAAAAGUUCGAUCCCAUUAUUUUAUUGACUGUAGAGUUAAUUAUACAUUUGAGCGAUCAUAUAUAUAUGUUAUACCGUUUUAUAA